UCAGGAAAGAAAGGGCGUAUGGCGGAUGCCAUGGGCACACGAAGGCGAAGAAGGACGCAGCGAACAGCGAAAUGCGCCGGGGAGCCGUAAGCAGGCGAUGAUCCGGCGGUAUCCGAAUGGGGAAACCCGGGAGGCCAGGAGCCUUCCAUCGCGCGAUGAACACAUAGUCGCGGCGAGGCGAUACGCGGGGAACUGAAACAUCUAAGUACCCGCAGGAAGAGAAAUCAAACGAGAAUCCGCAAGUAGCGGCGAGCGAAAACGGACGAGCCCAAACCGGCUGAUGCCGGGGUAGAAGGACCUGCAGCGAAGCGGAUGACGCGACCCUAGGGGAAGCGCCUGGGAGGGCGAUCCAGAGAGGGCGAAGGACCCGUACCCGAAAGGGGGGCGUCAGCGCGAGCAGUGAUCCUGAGUACGGCGGGACACGAGGAAUCCUGCCGGAAGCAUCGGGGACCAUCCCGAAAGGCUAAACACUAGCGUGUGACCGAUAGCGAACCAGUACCGUGAGGGAAAGGUGAAAAGAACCCCGGAAGGGGAGUGAAAGAGAGCCUGAAACCAUAUGCCUACAAGAAGUCAGAGCCCCGCAUGAGGGUGAUGGCGUGCCUUUUGUAGAAUGAGCCGGCGAGUCACUGCGUGCGGCAAGGUUAAGCGGAAGACGCGGAGCCGAAGCGAAAGCGAGUCUGAAGAGGGCGGAAGUCGUGCACAGUGGACCCGAAACCGGGUGAUCUAGCCAUGGACAGGUUGAAGUCGGGGUGAGACCCGAUGGAGGACCGAACCGACCCCCGUUGAAACGUUGGCGGAUGAUCCGUGGCUAGGGGUGAAAUUCCAAACGAACCCGGAGAUAGCUGGUUCUCCCCGAAAUAGCUUUAGGGCUAGCGUCGCGCGAUUGGCGCCGAAGGUAGAGCACUGAAUGCAUGAUGGCCGCAUCCCGCGGUACUGAGUGCAAUCAAACUCCGAAUGUCGGCAGGCAGAGCGCGGCAGUCAGUCCGCGGGUGAUAAGGUCCGCGGACAAGAGGGAAACAGCCCAGACCAUCAGCCAAGGUCCCCAAGUACAUGCCAAGUGGAAAAGGAAGUGGAGACGUGCAGACAGCUAGGAGGUUGGCUCAGAAGCAGCCAUCCUUUGAAGAGUGCGUAACAGCUCACUAGUCGAAUGACUCCGCGCCGAUAAUUUACCGGGGCUAAGCAUGACACCGAAGCUAUGGAUUACAGAGGUAAUGGUAGGGGAGCGUUCCAUCCAGCAAAGAAGCAUGACCGGAAGGGCAUGUGGAGCGGAUGGAAGAGAGAAUGCCGGCGUGAGUAGCGAGAUGCAGGUGGGAAUCCUGCACACCGAUGGCCCAAGGUCUCCAGGGGAAGGCUCGUCCUCCCUGGGAGAGUCGGGACCUAAGGCGAGGCCGAGAGGCGUAGCCGAUGGAAGACUGGCGGAGAUUCCAGUACCCCAUGCGGUGAGACGGAGUGACGGAGACGUGAGGCUGUACCGGGUGACGGAAUACCCGGGGCAAGCGAGGCAGGCGGGGCGAAGUGAAAUGCGCGCCCGGAUCGCCGAGAGCGCGAGGCAUACGGAAAGCUGCGGCAAGUACGGAAAUCAGCGGAGCGUCUUCCAGGAAAAGCUUCUAUCACCAGAGCCGCAUGGGCCCGUACCGAAAAUGGACACACAUGGGCAGGGAGAGAAUCCUGAGGUGAGCGAGAGAACUGCAGCCAAGGAACUCUGCAAAAUGACCCCGUAACCUAGGGAGAAGGGGUGCUCACGAGAGGUGAGCCGCAGAAAAAUGGCCCAAGCGACUGUUUACCAAAAACACAGCUCCCUGCGAAGGCGCAAGCCGAAGUAUAGGGGGUGACGCCUGCCCGGUGCUGGAAGGUUAAGAGGAGGAGUCAGCUUAUGCGAAGCUCCGAGCCGAAGCCCCAGUAAACGGCGGCCGUAACUAUAACGGUCCUAAGGUAGCGAAAUUCCUUGUCAG
rnacentral:rRNA from 1 species